UAGUGGUGCAACCCCUCCUAAGGAAAAAAAACCUGGAUCCGCCCCUGCUUUACUUAAACUUACAAGUACAGGCACUUGUUAAUGUUUAUAUUAUCGACUGUAGCUCCAUCGGUUAUAUAAUUACGCAUCCUUCCGGUAUGAGCAAUCAGUGAUGAAAGGAGUACUCAGAACUCGAAGCGGCUCCUCGAAUAUAGAGGAGCGAUCUAUAUUUAUCUCACUAUUUUAAUAUAAGUUGAACGAUCUGACUUUUUUUGUGGAACGACUCUGACCAGAUACCGUUUAAUUUGAAUUGUCCAUUCAUUCAUUCCUCCUGAGAUGAGGAAAAGAGCAAGGUCCUUUAAACUGAAAGGAUAAACGGUCCGGAAACGUCAAUCUCAAAAAUUAAUUCUGAGAAUUUUCCCAAUUUGAGAAAAUCUGAUGUUCUCGACAUUAUUUUUACACAUUCCGAUAUAUUAUAACCAAAUUCCUCAUAUUUUUUUGUGUCUCCCGAUUCCUGCCAAAAUUGCUAUUCUCUGGGUGGAAGAAAGAGGCGUAGAGGGCUGACAUACUUAGUAAUUGCACUCUGGAAUAACUAUUUUUAUUUUUACAUUAAAAAAGAAACCCUGUGUAGGGGUUUUGGUGUUCGAAGGGGUGGGGUUAAAAAUUAUUUUUGUUACUCUUGUAAACUUUUUUUCAAGGUAUGCUUCCUUGUAUUCAAAGGAAAGGCUAGAAAUGCAUUUUGUAGAGAAUUCCAUUUGAAUUCGUCUUUGCACCCAAUUCAUUUAAUUUUGUUGGACUGACUUUUAAUUUACACAAAAUUCAGAAAUUUAAAUACAAGAAAACCACCGUAAUAAAUGCCACAAAGUUAAUCUAGUUUUUCAUUAUAGCUUUCUUGGUUAGCAGGAGAUGUAUAUAAAAACAAAACUGGGAAGAACAAUAAGUCUUGGUUCAGAGAAGGUUUUCGCACAGCUGUGCUCUACCCGGAGCAAUUGCGGUAACCCAAUUGAAAGUUUUAGGAUGCUGAUUGGCCGAAAUGAUCAAAUCCGUUCAUCUGAUUGGCUCACUUCUCUUUGAGCGACGUCCGGUAGGGAUUCGAAUGCAGCGCGCGAGGUUACUCAAGUAGAAAAAGAAAGAGGCAAGCCUUUUCCAAUUCAACAGCUUUCGAGAGCUUUCUUUUGAUAUUCAAAUUUUUCAGCGUCACAAGGGAAUGUCGAGAUCUGGGCGAAUCGGUAAACAAAAGAGAAUUAACGAGGACAAGGCAUGUUUCAAGUAUGAAGUAUGAGGCAAAUGAUCUCCUGGUAGCAAAAUUGCCUGAUAGGAUACACAUUGAAAGGACUGAGAGAGGUGCCAUAAAUGAGUGAAUUUUCUUGCCCAAGAACACAAUGUAAUGGCUUGAAUGCAGACCUCUUAGUCAAAAGUCCAGUGCGCAAACCAUAAUAACAUCACUUCUCCUGUAAGGGCAGUGGCAAUAUGAAGAUGAUACAGAGUGAGUAAAUAGCGUAGCACUCAUAGAAAGUGAAACUUUUUGUUAUGGCAUAUGUGAGAGUGUAAGGAAAAAGUAGUACAGUACAAUACUGCCUAGCCAUGAAAUCUCUUUGAACUACUAGCACUGGGAAGGAAGUUUCAAGUCCUACAUGUGUCCUAGAAGUGCAAGGACAAUCUUUGAUGAGUGACCACAGUUUGACCAGGUCAGAGUAGCUUCCACAAUUACUUCAAGUCUUUUAACAUUAUUUAGAAAUUUGUAAAUUUAAUAAAUGUAGUAAUGCAUGAAAUACAAUUAUACAGGCUUGCAAGCCCACCAUCCAAGGAUCAUUCCACCAUCUAAAAUUUUUGUUUUGUUUUGUUUAGAAAAAUCCUCCCAGAAUAUUCUAUAUAAAGUAUAUUGCUAUUACAUAAAUUAAUAUCUGAUCUAUGUUGGCUUGAUAUACAUAUAAUUACAUAAUUUUUUGAGUUGACACCUGACAUGAAAUUUAGCUUAACUGAAAGAAAUUUCAUUAUGAUGUGUUAUGGUUGAAGGUAUCAUGUACAGUGCAAAAUGACAUUUAGAUGUUUAAUUUGAAAACUGAAUUUAAAAAUAUUGCAACGAGAAGAACACAGAGAACAAUAUACAGUGCAUGGGAUUGUACUAAUUAUUUCUUAUGACUAUAUGAAAUGAUUCUUACACAUGUUUACAACAUUUAUAUUUUUCUGAUAAAUAAUCUUAUAUAGUCUAUACUCUGAAACAUAUCAGUACUCAAAAUCAGUAGAGAAGAAAAAUAUGAUUUAUAAAUUAAGUCUUUUAUUGACCUGUGGGAAUUCUGAUCUACAACGAGAAAUUGACACCCAGCUUUCCAACAUUUUCAAUAUUAACAGUUCCAAGCUGACAUUUGAUGAGAGUAAAGAAAACCCAUUGUGCUAUUAUGUUACUAAGUUCUCAGAACUUGAAAAUUGAAGAAAUAUAUGACGUUCAAUUCAUGAAGGGGAAUAUUCUUUUGAUCUUGGGAAUGAAGGGUUGAAAAUUAUUUGAAAUAUAAUUUAAAGGGCUUGUAAACCACCGAGGAGCUUAAGCUUGCAGGUUAGUGUUCUUGAGUCAUGGAUUUAAAUCAAAAGUCUAAUGUUCUCCUCAUUAAUUUGCAACCUACAGUUUGACUUCUUGUUAAAUGUAUCAAGUUAGAUGCAUUAAAAGGACUUAAGAGCCUUGCAAUUCAUUGGUCAGCAGGAGUGAAACUGCACCAAAAACAAAUGAUAUCAACUUCCGUUCGCUGUCUGAGGCUCAAAAUGACUAUGAUUCAUCUACCUCCCAGAUACCUCAAUAUCGGUUGAGAGAUGAAUGUUUUUUCCCCUAUAAAAGUCAUGUGGUUUUUGAAAUAUAAGAGGAUUCAGGACACAGGACAAGUAUAGUUUGUGCACAGCGAGAUACAAAUACAACUUUAUGUAGUUCUUAUGUUGUUAAUCCGACCCGUAAUCAAUUAUUUAUAGAAAUGAAUAACCUUGUGGUUAAUAAGUAGACUUGUUCAAUUGAAUGUUAAUUUAUGCAGACGCCGAAGUUUGUUUGGUGUCAGUGAAAGUAACCUUUUGGCAUCAAAACUGUUGUUUGACUUGUGUCGUAAUUAUCUCUGUCGGCUUGAAAACUCCCUGUUCAUGACAGCUUGAAUUUCAAGUUGCUUUUGUUAUCGUUGAACAGGAAACUUUGUGUACACUUAAUGUUAGCUUUCCAAACAACAAGCUGCAUUUUUAGCAGUAGCUCACUAAUUUGUCUCUAGGGAAAGUAUGUUGUAACCUGAUACUUCAGGAAAUAGUUGUGUAGUGAAAAGAAACUUUACAUAAUUUUGUUCAUACCGCAAUGUCUUCUCACCAGGAAGGUAGGAUGUGUUUCUAGAAAAAAUGUUUAGUUUAGCAUCAGUGAUAAAACUACAAUUAAUUACUUACUUCAAAUUACAUGUAAGUUGUGGCUGUUAUUUAAUAAGAUUAUCUUCCAUGCUUACAAUAAUUAAUAUACACAAUGUUAUUACUAACUUACAUGUAUGAAAAGUUAAAAUGUAGUACUAAUAAGGGUUCCAAAACUGAUGCAUUUUUGACACAAAUAUUUAUUGAAAACGGUUUACUUAGACGAUAUAGAACUUACUAAAAUAAUAGUUACUGUAGCAAGAAAUGUUGCAAUUUUGAAACUGAUAUUCAACCUAAAAGUGAAAUGUAGACUUUUCCGUUUAUUAUUGAGUCAGCAGAUGUGAUUUACUGUCAAGAUUUAUGUAUGUUAUCAGAUAUUAACAGAAUGUUUGAAAAGGUCAGACCAUUAUUGUUUAAUAUUGCAGUUGUCCUCUUGGAAUGAUUGUGAUGAUUUCAACUGUACUCUAGAGAUUCUGAAGAGUUUAAAUCAUUGUUUAGAGCAGAGAAAGCCUUUUAUUUGGAGUUUAUUUUAUCAUAAUUGGCAGUUUACAGUUGAUUUUAGACCUCCAAAGUGAGCGGGCUUUUUUUUUGAAAUUCUUGUGUUGUCAAAGAAAUAGCAUUCUUCAUGUAAAAGUUAUUAUGGACAAAUUUUGAACUCUCUGAGAAUACUUGUGAUCUAUUUCUCCGACAUAUUGAGCUUGUCUGGUAUUUGGAAAACUGGAAAUAUUCAUUAUUCUCUUAAGUUUGAAUUGUUGUGGCCAGAAAAAGAAUCACUAAUUUGGCUUUCUUAAUUGACCCCAAAAAAAUUCGUAAAAAAUAGAGUUCUGCUGAUUCAAGUAUCCAAACAUUACAACCUUGAAAUCAGCCCAACUAAGUAUGAAAAUUUGUACUG